rnacentral:rRNA from 1 species
GACGAACGCUGGCGGCGUGCCUAAUACAUGCAAGUAGAACGCUGAAGGAGGAGCUUGCUUCUCUGGAUGAGUUGCGAACGGGUGAGUAACGCGUAGGUAACCUGCCUGGUAGCGGGGGAUAACUAUUGGAAACGAUAGCUAAUACCGCAUAAUAGUAGAUGUUGCAUGACAUUUGCUUAAAAGGUGCAAUUGCAUCACUACCAGAUGGACCUGCGUUGUAUUAGCUAGUUGGUGAGGUAACGGCUCACCAAGGCAACGAUACAUAGCCGACCUGAGAGGGUGAUCGGCCACACUGGGACUGAGACACGGCCCAGACUCCUACGGGAGGCAGCAGUAGGGAAUCUUCGGCAAUGGACGGAAGUCUGACCGAGCAACGCCGCGGGAGUGAAGAAGGUUUUCGGAUCGUAAAGCUCUGUUGUAAGAGAAGAACGAGUGUGAGAGUGGAAAGUUCACACUGUGACGGUAGCUUACCAGAAAGGGACGGCUAACUACGUG